rnacentral:rRNA from 1 species
UUAGAGUUUGAUCCUGGCUCAGGAUGAACGCUAGCGGCAGGCUUAACACAUGCAAGUCGAGGGGCAGCAUGUCCAGCAAUGGAUGAUGGCGACCGGCGGAAGGGUGCGUAACGCGUGAGCAACAUGCCCUAUACAGGGAGAUACACCAGGGAAACUUGGUCUAAUAUCCCAUAGCAUUCAUUGAAGGCAUCUUUAAUGAAUUAAAGCUUCGGUGGUAUAGGAUUGGCUCGCGUGACAUUAGCCAGAUGGUGAGGUAACGGCUCACCAUAGCAAUGAUGUCUAGGGGUUUUGAGAGGAAGGCCCCCCACACUGGGACUGAGACACGGCCCAGACUCCUACGGGAGGCAGCAGUGAGGAAUAUUGGACAAUGGAUGGAAAUCUGAUCCAGCCAUGCCGCGUGCAGGAAGACGGCCUUAUGGGUUGUAAACUGCUUUUAUACGGGAGCAAUAAGGGUUACGAGUAAUCCGAUGAGAGUACUGUAUGAAUAAGGAUCGGCUAACUCCGUGCCAGCAGCCGCGGUAAUACGGAGGAUCCGAGCGUUAUCCGGAAUUAUUGGGUUUAAAGGGUGCGUAGGCGGCCAUUUAAGUCAGCGGUGAAAUUUUGCAGCUUAACUGUAACAGUGCCGUUGAUACUGUUUGGCUAGGAUUUGGUUGUAGUGUGCGGAAUGUGUGGUGUAGCGGUGAAAUGCUUAGAUAUCAGGUAGAACACCAAUGGCGAAGGCAGCUUGCUGGGGACUUAUUGACGCUGAGGCUCGAAAGUGUGGGUAGCAAACAGGAUUAGAUACCCUGGUAGUCCACACAGUAAACGAUGCAUACUGGGCGUCCGGAUUUAAUUCGGGUGCCGCAGCUAACGCGUUAAGCAAUCCACCUGGGGAGUACGACCGCAAGGUUGAAACUCAAAGGAAUUGACGGGGGCCCGCACAAGCAGUGGAUUAUGUGGUUUAAUUCGAAGCAACGCGAAGAACCUUACCAGGUCUUGACAUCCGACUAACGAGAUAGAGAUAUGUCAGGUGCCCUUCGGGGAAAGUCGAGACAGGUGGUGCAUGGUUGUCGUCAGCUCGUGUCGUGAGAUGUUGGGUUAAGUCCCGCAACGAGCGCAACCCCUGCCAUUAGUUGCCAUCAGGUCAAGCUGGGGACUUUAAUGAGACUGCCACCGUAAGGUGCGAGGAAGGGGGGGAUGACGUCAAAUCGGCACGGCCCUUAUGUCCGGGGCGACACACGUGUUACAAUGGAUGGUACAACAGGCAGCUACUUGGCGACAAGAUGCUAAUCCCGAAAACCAUUCUCAGUUCGGAUCGAAGUCUGCAACUCGACUUCGUGAAGCUGGAUUCGCUAGUAAUCGCGCAUCAGCCACGGCGCGGUGAAUACGUUCCCGGGUCUUGUACACACCGCCCGUCAAG